ensembl:lncRNA
CCCGAGGCCCCUGAGCUGGCAUUUUCAUGGAAGAGGCUUCCAGGGACAGCCACCCUCCCCCUUCCUGCGUGUUCUCGGGCAAGCCAGAACCCUCCGCUCACAACAGGAAACCAAUAGCUCUGUGCUAUCAGAAGACAUUUCCUUCACGGCACAGAGCGUCUGAGUAAUGAUUUCGAGCCGGCUUCACCCAUUUCCGGUGGAAGGAGGCAAGUGGCCGGUCCCCGCCCCUGCACGGCCCUCUCCGAGCCCCGCCGCCCAGCAGCCUCCGGCUGGAAGACGGGCCUCUCUUCCCUUUGCCGUCCCGGCCCGGCACCCCGAGUAGCAGAUUCACUCGGAGGGGCUUUCCCGCGUCUACGCAGAACGCCGUCACCGUGACUGGCUCGUACUCUCAUCUGCAUGCCGUUCACAGGUGGCUUUGACGGCCAAAAGGCGGGUCGAGAAGGUCACACCUUUUUGGAAGGACUCUGUCCCUCAGAAGGAUGAGCAUUUUGAAUCCCUUUCUUCGAGUGCUGUCUUGCAAACUUAUGUGGAUUUUGGGGCUCAUCUACAAGGCUGCAGGCCUCCCAGCAUCCGGAGAGAAUUUAGACCAACCUCUUUCUUGGGGCAUCGAAGGAGAGCACGGCCCUGGGCUUCUUGGAGCAGUUCCAGCUGGAGGCUUCCUCCACGUUCACUUUAAGCCCGGACUCAACCAGAGCCCCCUGCACUCGUCUUUCCCCGCCACACGGAAAAAGCCACCUGGAGGGGGACAGAACGGAGCCGGCGUGAAAAGAGAGGCCAAGGUGAGUCGUGGCAAACUGGUCAGGACUGACCUGUGUUACGCUCUGGUUUCCAGCCAGACCUAAGGUGGAGCCGCAUCUGGACUUUUCAGACGCGCAACUCACGAAACAAAGCAAAGCAAAACAAAACAAAACUCCUCGUAUGUUUCUUGAGUUGAGCUUUAUCUCUGACAAUCAAAAGUCCUCGGCAGCGUGCAAGACGUGAGCCGUGUCUGUUCUACGAAGCGCCACUUUUGUUUCAAAAAUCAAGGCUCCCUAUUAGAAGGCAACGUAUUCUUAGGCUUUCUCUCCUUUGAGCCGUUGGUAUAGCAUGUUGAUAGGUUUCCAAAUAUCGAACCACGUUUUUAUUCCAAUGAUGGGGCCCACUUGGUCACGAAGAAAACAUUUUUGCUGCCUUGUAGAAAAGAUUUUGGGCCAGCAUUUGUAAGUGCAGGCUCAACGGGGAGGGGUCCGAAACCGCUGGGUUGUGAGACAUGUCCAGGCAGCUGACGAAGUUUGCUUGGCCUGUCGGUGUUUCAGAACUGGGAGGUCAAACAUACAAUUCAGCUCUCCUUUUUUUUUUUUUUUUAAAUUUUUUUUUUAACGUUUUAUUUAUUUUUGAGACAGAGAGAGACAGAGCAUGAACGGGGCAGGGGCAGAGAGAGAGGGAGACACAGAAUCAGAAACAGGCUCCAGGCUCUGAGCCGUCAGCCCAGAGCCCGACGUGGGGCUUAAACUCACGGACGCGAGAUCGUGACCUGAGCUGAAGUCGGACGCUUUAACCGACUGAGCCACCCAGGCGCCCCUCCUUUUUUUUUUUUUUUGAAAAAAAGUUUAUUCAUUUAUUUUCAAGGAAGGGGAGGGACCGAGAGAGAGGGAGAAAGGGAGGGAGACAAGGAGAGAGAGAGGGAGAGAGAAGAGGGAGGGAGAGAGAGGAGAGAGAGAAGAAGAAAGAGAAUACCAAGCAGGCCCUGCACUGUCAGCGUAGAGUCCGAUGUGGGGGCUCAAACCCACGAACCGUGAGAUCAAGACCCGAGCCAAGGUCAAGAUCGGACGCUGAACCUACUGAGGCCCCAGGCGCCCUCCCUUGAGCUUUUCUUGAAAAGUCUGUCAUUUCAGUGGGGCUGAGUGUCCGCGUGGCAGAUGGUCUGGGGUGGAUGGCAGUCACCUCUGCACCGGCUGCGCCCGAGGCCCCCCUUGGGACCGGCACCCACAAAUGUUCACUCCCGUUGUCUUGGUUGGUCAGUGUCACACAUUUUAGUCACUGUCCGGCCUGUGAGGUCAUUCGAGGCUGUGAUGCCUCCAAUUGUCCCUUCUGGUGCCUUGUGUUCAGGUGACCGCGGCUCCGGCACGGAAUGGCGCUCUCUCUGGAAGGCUGGAGGAGUUACCUGUGAAAGUCCCGGGCCUUGGUGCUUGUUUGCGGUGGCUCUUCCAUUUUUUCCCCAAACUUGCUUCCCUUACCCGCUCAUCUGAGCCUGUUGGCCUCCCGUCCCAGCUGCAGUCUGAGAAAGAAUGGCUCCAGCGUCCCCCGGCCUUCCUGUGGCCUGAGGACACUGCGUGGGGAGAGGACACAUCAGAGAGCGCGUGGGCGCCUUGCCUUUGAUCUGAAAUAGUUUCCCGGACUGCUGCAGGGCUCACUUCCCAAGCAGGGGUGUGCAUCUGUUUUCUGGGCGGUAGAGACCCAUCUCUGACCUCCAGCCCCUCCCCCAAUUCAGUGCAGGGCCCUGGACGCUGAUCUGACGGCCCUCCGACGUCCUCUCCUUUCCACUGGAUGCCCAGCCAGCGAGGGCUUUUUCUAUGCACUUGCCCCGGCUGUGCCGUGACCCACUGGGGUCAACGUCACUCCAGAGUCUCAGGCUUCUUCCCACCUCACUCGGCUUCCUCUCUCUCUCUCACCGGCCUGGAGGGCGGAGGAGCGGAGCCGGGAUUCCCGUCACCCCGCUCUGGCGUCUUCCAUCAUUGUAAUUUGUCGUCACUUUUGGAAGUUUGUGGAGGCAGGCGGGAAAGCAAUAAAUGAUCAUAAAUGCUUUUCA